GAAAACUCCGGUGGUAUGGGAUGGGCCCGCGUCUGAUUAGCUCGUUGGCGGGGUAACGGCCCACCAAGGCGACGAUCAGUAGCCGGCCUGAGAGGGCGGCCGGCCACAUUGGGACUGAGACACGGCCCAGACUCCUGCGGGAGGCAGCAGUGGGGAAUAUUGCACAAUGGGGGAAACCCUGAUGCAGCGACGCCGCGUGAGCGAUGAAGUAUCUCGGUAUGUAAAGCUCUAUCAGCAGGGAAGAAAGUGACAGUACCUGACUAAGAAGCCCCGGCUAACUACGUGCCAGCAGCCGCGGUAAUACGUAGGGGGCAAGCGUUAUCCGGAUUCACUGGGCGUAAAGGGAGCGCAGGCGGCACGGCAAGUCUGGUGUGAAAACCCGGGGCUCAACCCCGGGACUGCAUUGGAAACUGCCGGGCUGGAGUGUCGGAGGGGUAAGCGGAAUUCCUAGUGUAGCGGUGAAAUGCGUAGAUAUUAGGAGGAACACCAGUGGCGAAGGCGGCUUACUGGACGAUGACUGACGCUGAGGCUCGAAAGCGUGGGGAGCAAACAGGAUUAGAUACCCUGGUAGUCCACGCC
rnacentral:rRNA from 1 species